CACGUAGGGGGCGAGCGUUGUCCGGAUUUAUUGGGCGUAAAGAGCUCGUAGGCGGCUCAGUAAGUCAGGUGUGAAAACUCCAGGCUCAACCUGGAGACGCCACCUGAUACUGCUGUGGCUAGAGUCUGGUAGGGGAGCAUGGAAUUCCUGGUGUAGCGGUGAAAUGCGCAGAUAUCAGGAGGAACACCAGUGGCGAAGGCGGUGCUCUGGGCCGGAACUGACGCUGAGGAGCGAAAGCGUGGGGAGCAAACAGG
rnacentral:rRNA from 1 species